GGCAGCACAGUAAGAGCUUGCUCUUAUGGGUGGCGAGUGGCGGACGGGUGAGGAAUACAUCGGAAUCUACUUUUUCGUGGGGGAUAACGUAGGGAAACUUACGCUAAUACCGCAUACGACCUACGGGUGAAAGCAGGGGACCUUCGGGCCUUGCGCGAUUGAAUGAGCCGAUGUCGGAUUAGCUAGUUGGCGGGGUAAAGGCCCACCAAGGCGACGAUCCGUAGCUGGUCUGAGAGGAUGAUCAGCCACACUGGAACUGAGACACGGUCCAGACUCCUACGGGAGGCAGCAGUGGGGAAUAUUGGACAAUGGGCGCAAGCCUGAUCCAGCCAUACCGCGUGGGUGAAGAAGGCCUUCGGGUUGUAAAGCCCUUUUGUUGGGAAAGAAAUGCAGCGGGCUAAUACCUUGCUGUGCUGACGGUACCCAAAGAAUAAGCACCGGCUAACUUCGUGCCAGCAGCCGCGG
rnacentral:rRNA from 1 species